rfam:Oryza meridionalis cultivar OR44 (W2112) chromosome 6, whole genome shotgun sequence.
AAUAAGUGCAGUUUUGCACUAUUCACGUUCAACGUUUGAUCGUUCGUCUUAUUUGAAAAUUUUUUAUGAUUAGUAUUUUUAUUNUAUUUUUAUUGCUAUUAGAUGAUAAAACAUGAAUAGUACUUUAUGUGUGACUAAGUAUUUUCAAUUUUUUCACAAAUUUUUUAAAUAAGACGGACGGUCAAACGUUGGGCACGGAUAUCCACAGCUGCACUUAUU